GAUGAACGCUAGCGGCAGGCCUAACACAUGCAAGUCGAGGGGUAGCAGGAUUAAGCUUGCUUAAUUGCUGACGACCGGCGCACGGGUGCGUAACACGUAUGCAACCUACCUUAUACUGGGGUAUAGCCCGGAGAAAUUCGGAUUAAUCCCCCAUAGUACUAAUGAAUCGCAUGGUUUAUUAGUUAAAGCAUUGCGGUAUAAGAUGGGCAUGCGUCCUAUUAGCUAGAUGGUGAGGUAACGGCUCACCAUGGCUACGAUAGGUAGGGGGCCUGAGAGAGUGGUCCCCCACACUGGUACUGAGACACGGACCAGACUCCUACGGGAGGCAGCAGUGAGGAAUAUUGGUCAAUGGGCGCAAGCCUGAACCAGCCAUGCCGCGUGCAGGAAGAAUGCCCUAUGGGUUGUAAACUGCUUUUAUUUGGGAAUAGACCUCUUUACGUGUAGAGAGCUGAAGGUACCAAAUGAAUAAGCACCGGCUAACUCCGUGCCAGCCGCCGCCGUAA
rnacentral:rRNA from 1 species